rnacentral:snRNA from 1 species
GUGCUCGCUUCGACAGCACAUAUACUAAAAUUGGAAUGAUACAGAGAAGAUUAGCAUGGCCCCUGCACAAGGAUGACAUGCUAAUUUGUGAAGCGUUCCAUAUUUUC